GGAACCACAAUAAGUGGGGUUUUUUUCGUAUGCCGGUAUGCUGUGGAAGCAGGAACCACCCAGUACCGAGGAAGAUCAGUAUUCAAUAGCAACCGCAUAUGAAACCGUUCAAAAUCAGCUUCCCACCCGCAUCAGAAAGACAGAAAGCCGUUAGGACCCAGCGCUAACCAAACCCAACCAUGGAAAACGAACUUCCUCUGAUCCAUGGCUGGCUUCUCAUACCCCUCAGUUUUUAGGUGGAGGAUGAACCAUGGUUUCACUUCUCUUACCUGUUUCUCUUCACUUCUGAGCUCCCUGUUUAUAUGUGCCUGGGCAUGGGUUGACAGCUCUUCCAUUACCUACAAUAAAGAACAAUGCGCGCUGACUCAGUUUCAGGGUGUGUGCAGCAUUCCCCAGAGAACUCUACAUGGAAAGCUCUUGCAUCUGUUCAGUGUGUCAGCUCCAUGGCCAGCCAAACAACGAAAGCUCUUGGUGGGAACAGUAUCAGAGGGGAUUGCUGACCGUUGUGCCGGAGCCUUAGCAAGGUUCAGCCCUCGGAGGCGUGUUCGCCUCUUUCCACUAGCAUCAGCCGGGCUUGCAGGCCCACACAGAGCAGGGAAGAAACUCCACCAAGAGGUCUGGGAAGUUCCUUUGUUCCCUGUCAGGGGCAGGUGAAAGACCCCAGCCCCAAGCCCUUUGGAGAUCGAGGUCUGAAUGGCACAUUUCUCUCAAAUGGGUGAACUGGGGAGCGCACAAGGGAGUGUUUUGGUCACAGUUUUGGGUUCCUUUGAUUUUAGGAGCCUCAUGUAUAAAUUAGCUGUAGAAAGGGGGCAAAACAUCUAUUUUGGUGCCAACGGAUGUCUGGUAUCCUUCCCCACUCUGUCACCUAGACCAGAAGAAAUGCAGGAUGAAGGCUGUACAGUAACAAUCUGAUACGCCCCAUCCUACCCUGUGGGUUAUCACCUCUGCGCUAACCUUUAGCCUGGUUUGCACUUGGGAAGGGGGGAAGGAGGUUCUGCACCAGCGUAGCUACACUGAUGCA